UAUUGCUCUAUGGGAACUCACCCACACAAACGAUGGAACAUGGUCUAACACAGAUUCCCAGAAAGUUUACGACCAAGCACUUCAAGAGGUUAAAAACAAAGAAGCUGAAACUUAAGGUCCACUUUCAAGUGAGCAGAAAAACAAUGUUUUCCAGACCGCUUACAAAGACACUCUGGAAUGCAAGUCAUCGCAGCCUCGUGGGUACGGAUACAUGGCCACAACUUCAACUGGUUCUGAAAAGUUCCGUAUCCAGAUUGAAGAGCAAGCUCAUGCUACAGCUUGUGCUACAGCAGCCACCCAGGAGCGAAACUCUCAGCUCAGCCAGCAGGUCAAUGACUUAGAAGAUCAACUACAAGCUGAACGUGCUAACACACAAGAGAGGAUUAACUUGGAGCGUGCUGAGAGAGAACAACUUGAGGAGAGGUUAAAAGAAGAGCGUGCUGAAAGGGAAAGAUUGUUGCAAGAGGAGCGAACAUCAAGACUGGAAUUUGAA